ACGCUGGCGGCACGCCUAACACAUGCAAGUCGAACGAAGUAGCAAUACUUAGUGGCAGACGGGUGAGUAACAUGUAGGUAUCUGCCCUUUGGCCUGGAAUAACACGAGGAAACUUGUGCUAAUACCGGAUAAGUCUUUACGGAGAAAGCUUUAUGCACCAUUGGAUGAGCCUGCACUUGAUUAGUUUGUUGGUGGGGUAAUGGCCUACCAAGACUGUGAUCAAUAGCUGAUUUGAGAGGAUGAUCAGCCACAUUGGGACUGAGACACGGCCCAAACUCCUACGGGAGGCAGCAGUGGGGAAUCUUGCACAAUGGAGGAAACUCUGAUGCAGCGAUGCCGCGUGAGUGAAGAAGGCCUUUGGGUUGUAAAGCUCUUUCGUCGGGGAAGAAAAUGACUGUACCCGAAUAAGAAGGUCCGGCUAACUUCGUGCCAGCAGCCGCGGUAAUACGAAGGGACCUAGCGUAGUUCGGAAUUACUGGGCUUAAAGAGUUCGUAGGUGGUUGAAAAAGUUAGUGGUGAAAUCCCAGAGCUUAACUCUGGAACUGCCAUUAAAACUUUUCAGCUAGAGUAUGAUAGAGGAAAGCAGAAUUUCUAGUGUAGAGGUGAAAUUCGUAGAUAUUAGAAAGAAUACCAAUUGCGAAGGCAGCUUUCUGGAUCAUUACUGACACUGAGGAACGAAAGCAUGGGUAGCGAAGAGGAUUAGAUACCCUCGUAGUCCAUGCCGUAAACGAUGUGUGUUAGACGUUGGAAAUUUAUUUUCAGUGUCGCAGGGAAACCGAUAAACACACCGCCUGGGGAGUACGACCGCAAGGUUAAAACUCAAAUGAAUUGACGGGGACCCGCACAAGUAGUGGAGCAUGUGGUUUAAUUCGAAGAUACGCGCAGAACCUUACCAACACUUGACAUGUUCGUCGCGACUCUAAGAGAUUAGAGUUUUCGGUUCGGCCGGACGAAACACAGGUGCUGCAUGGCUGUCGUCAGCUCGUGUCGUGAGAUGUUGGGUUAAGUCCCGCAACGAGCGCAACCCUCACUUUUAGUUGCCAUCAUUAAGUUGGGCACUCUGAAAGAACUGCCAGUGAUAAGCUGGAGGAAGGUGGGGAUGACGUCAAGUCCUCAUGGCCCUUACGUGUUGGGCUACACACGUGCUACAAUGGUAUCUACAACAGGAAGCAAGACUGCGAAGUUAAGCAAAUCCCUAAAAGAUACCUCAGUUCGGAUUGCACUCUGCAACUCGAGUGCAUGAAGCUGGAAUUACUAGUAAUCGUGGAUCAGCGUGCCACGGUGAAUGCGUUCCCGGGUCUUGUACACACCGCCCGUCA
rnacentral:rRNA from 1 species